AUUGAACGCUGGCGGCAUGCCUUACACAUGCAAGUCGAACGGUAACAGGGUGCUUGCACCGCUGACGAGUGGCGAACGGGUGAGUAAUGCGUCGGAACGUGCCGAGUAGUGGGGGAUAACGCAGCGAAAGGUGUGCUAAUACCGCAUACGUACUGAGGUAGAAAGUGGGGGACCUUCGGGCCUCACACUAUUCGAGCGGCGGACGUCUGAUUAGCUAGUAGGUGAGGUAAAGGCUCACCUAGGCUACGAUCAGUAGCGGGUCGGAGAGGAUGAUCCGCCACACUGGGACUGAGACACGGCCCAGACUCCUACGGGAGGCAGCAGUGGGGAAUUUUGGACAAUGGGCGAAAGCCUGAUCAGCCAUGCCGCGUGUCUGAAGAAGGCCUUCGGGUUGUAAAGGACUUUUGUCGGGGAGGAAAUCCCCAGCGUUAAUACCGCUGGGGGAUGACAGUACCUGAAGAAUAAGCACCGGCUAACUACGUGCCAGCCGCCGCCGUAACAC
rnacentral:rRNA from 1 species